rnacentral:rRNA from 1 species
UGGGGAAUAUUGGACAAUGGGCGGAAGCCUGAUCCAGCCAUGCCGCGUGUGUGAAGAAGGCCUUUUGGUUGUAAAGCACUUUAAGCGAGGAGGAGGCUACUUGGAUUAAUACUCUAGGAUAGUGGACGUUACUCGCAGAAUAAGCACCGGCUAACUCUGUGCCAGCAGCCGCGGUAAUACAGAGGGUGCGAGCGUUAAUCGGAUUUACUGGGCGUAAAGCGUGCGUAGGCGGCUUCUUAAGUCGGAUGUGAAAGCCCUGAGCUUAACUUAGUAAUUGCGUUCGAUACUGGGAAGCUGGAGUAUGGGAGAGGAUGGUAGAAUUCCAGGUGAAGCGGUGGAAUGCGUAGGGAUCUGGAGGGAUAACGAUGGCGAAGGCAGCCAUCUGGCCUAAUACUGACGCUGAGGUACGAAAGCAUGGGGGGCAAGCAGG